UGCGGAGGGUGCAAGCGUUAUCCGGAUUUACUGGGUUUAAAGGGUGUGUAGGCGGACUUUUAAGUCAGGGGUGAAAUCCCGAGGCUCAACCUCGGAACUGCCUUUGAUACUAUUGGUCUUGAAUGUUGUUGAGGUGGGCGGAACGGGUCAUGUAGCGGUGAAAUGCAUAGAUAUGACCCGGAACACCGAUUGCGAAGGCAGCCCGCUAAGCAACUAUUGACGCUGAGGCACGAAAGCGUGGGGAUCAAACAGG
rnacentral:rRNA from 1 species